AUUGAACGCUGGCGGCAGGCCUAACACAUGCAAGUCGAGCGGUAGCACAGAGAGCUUGCUCUCGGGUGACGAGCGGCGGACGGGUGAGUAAUGUCUGGGAAACUGCCUGAUGGAGGGGGAUAACUACUGGAAACGGUAGCUAAUACCGCAUAACGUCGCAAGACCAAAGUGGGGGACCUUCGGGCCUCAUGCCAUCAGAUGUGCCCAGAUGGGAUUAGCUAGUAGGUGGGGUAAUGGCUCACCUAGGCGACGAUCCCUAGCUGGUCUGAGAGGAUGACCAGCCACACUGGAACUGAGACACGGUCCAGACUCCUACGGGAGGCAGCAGUGGGGAAUAUUGCACAAUGGGCGCAAGCCUGAUGCAGCCAUGCCGCGUGUGUGAAGAAGGCCUUCGGGUUGUAAAGCACUUUCAGCGGGGAGGAAGGCGAUAAGGUUAAUAACCUUGUCGAUUGACGUUACCCGCAGAAGAAGCACCGGCUAACUCCGUGCCAGCAGCCGCGGUAAUACGGAGGGUGCAAGCGUUAAUCGGAAUUACUGGGCGUAAAGCGCACGCAGGCGGUCUGUCAAGUCGGAUGUGAAAUCCCCGGGCUCAACCUGGGAACUGCAUUCGAAACUGGCAGGCUAGAGUCUUGUAGAGGGGGGUAGAAUUCCAGGUGUAGCGGUGAAAUGCGUAGAGAUCUGGAGGAAUACCGGUGGCGAAGGCGGCCCCCUGGACAAAGACUGACGCUCAGGUGCGAAGGCGUGGGGAGCAAACAGGAUUAGAUACCCUGGUAGUCCACGCCGUAAACGAUGUCGAUUUGGAGGUUGUGCCCUUGAGGCGUGGCUUCCGGAGCUAACGCGUUAAAUCGACCGCCUGGGGAGUACGGCCGCAAGGUUAAAACUCAAAUGAAUUGACGGGGGCCCGCACAAGCGGUGGAGCAUGUGGUUUAAUUCGAUGCAACGCGAAGAACCUUACCUGGUCUUGACAUCCACAGAACUUUCCAGAGAUGGAUUGGUGCCUUCGGGAACUGUGAGACAGGUGCUGCAUGGCUGUCGUCAGCUCGUGUUGUGAAAUGUUGGGUUAAGUCCCGCAACGAGCGCAACCCUUAUCCUUUGUUGCCAGCGGUUAGGCCGGGAACUCAAAGGAGACUGCCAGUGAUAAACUGGAGGAAGGUGGGGAUGACGUCAAGUCAUCAUGGCCCUUACGACCAGGGCUACACACGUGCUACAAUGGCAUAUACAAAGAGAAGCGACCUCGCGAGAGCAAGCGGACCUCAUAAAGUAUGUCGUAGUCCGGAUUGGAGUCUGCAACUCGACUCCAUGAAGUCGGAAUCGCUAGUAAUCGUAGAUCAGAAUGCUACGGUGAAUACGUUCCCGGGCCUUGUACACACCGCCCGUCACACCAUGGGAGUGGGUUGCAAAAGAAGUAGGUAGCUUAACCUUCGGGAGGGCGCUUACCACUUUGUGAUUCAUGACUGGGGUGA
rnacentral:rRNA from 1 species